GGGAAUGUGGCUGAGUGGUUUAAAGCAGCCUGAUUGAGUUCAGGUGGUGAGGGGCAAGUCCCCAAGACCCCGUACGUUCGAAUCGUACCGUUCCCG
rnacentral:tRNA from 1 species